AGAGUUUGAUCCUGGCUCAGGAUGAACGCUAGCUACAGGCUUAACACAUGCAAGUCGAGGGGAAACGACAUCGAAAGCUUGCUUUUGAUGGGCGUCGACCGGCGCACGGGUGAGUAACGCGUAUCCAACCUGCCCAUCACUUGGGGAUAACCUUGCGAAAGUAAGACUAAUACCCAAUGAUAUCUCUAGAAGACAUCUGAAAGAGAUUAAAGAUUUAUCGGUGAUGGAUGGGGAUGCGUCUGAUUAGCUUGUUGGCGGGGUAACGGCCCACCAAGGCGACGAUCAGUAGGGGUUCUGAGAGGAAGGUCCCCCACAUUGGAACUGAGACACGGUCCAAACUCCUACGGGAGGCAGCAGUGAGGAAUAUUGGUCAAUGGGCGAGAGCCUGAACCAGCCAAGUAGCGUGCAGGAUGACGGCCCUAUGGGUUGUAAACUGCUUUUAUAAGGGAAUAAAGUGAGUCUCGUGAGACUUUUUGCAUGUACCUUAUGAAUAAGGACCGGCUAAUUCCGUGCCAGCAGCCGCGGUAAUACGGAAGGUCCGGGCGUUAUCCGGAUUUAUUGGGUUUAAAGGGAGCGUAGGCCGGAGAUUAAGCGUGUUGUGAAAUGUAGACGCUCAACGUCUGCACUGCAGCGCGAACUGGUUUCCUUGAGUACGCACAAAGUGGGCGGAAUUCGUGGUGUAGCGGUGAAAUGCUUAGAUAUCACGAAGAACUCCGAUUGCGAAGGCAGCUCACUGGAGCGCAACUGACGCUGAAGCUCGAAAGUGCGGGUAUCGAACAGGAUUAGAUACCCUGGUAGUCCGCACGGUAAACGAUGGAUGCCCGCUGUUGGUCUGAAUAGGUCAGCGGCCAAGCGAAAGCAUUAAGCAUCCCACCUGGGGAGUACGCCGGCAACGGUGAAACUCAAAGGAAUUGACGGAAGGGCGAAUCGCGGCCGC
rnacentral:rRNA from 1 species